rnacentral:rRNA from 1 species
UGGAGUCGUCCUUGAAAUACCACCCUUGUAGUUUUGAUGUUCUAACGUUGGCCCCUGAAUCGGGGUUACGGACAGUGCCUGGUGGGUAGUUUGACUGGGGCGGUCUCCUCCCAAAGAGUAACGGAGGAGCACGAAGGUGGGCUAAACACGGUUGGACAUCGUGUGGUUAGUGCAAUGGCAUAAGCCCGCUUGACUGCGAGAAUGACAAUUCGAGCAGGUGCGAAAGCAGGUCAUAGUGAUCCGGUGGUUCUGAAUGGAAGGGCCAUCGCUCAACGGAUAAAAGGUACUCCGGGGAUAACAGGCUGAUACCGCCCAAGAGUUCAUAUCGACGGCGGUGUUUGGCACCUCGAUGUCGGCUCAUCACAUCCUGGGGCUGAAGUCGGUCCCAAGGGUAUGGCUGUUCGCCAUUUAAAGUGGUACGCGAGCUGGGUUUAGAACGUCGUGAGACAGUUCGGUCCCUAUCUGCCGUGGGCGUUGGAAAAUUGAAAGGGGCUGCUCCUAGUACGAGAGGACCGGAGUGGACGAACCUCUGGUGUUCGGGUUGUCAUGCCAAUGGCAUUGCCCGGUAGCUAAGUUCGGAAUCGAUAACCGCUGAAAGCAUCUAAGCGGGAAGCGAGCCUUGAGAUGAGUUUUCCCUGGCACUAUAAGUGUCCUAAAGGGUUGUCGUAGACUACGACGUUGAUAGGCAGGGUGUGUAAGUGCUGCGAGGCAUUGAGCUAACCUGUACUAAUUGCCCGUGAGGCUUAACCAUACAACACCCAAGGGGUUU